rnacentral:rRNA from 1 species
UACGUAGGGUGCGAGCGUUGUCCGGAAUUAUUGGGCGUAAAGGGCUCGUAGGCGGUUUGUCGCGUCGGGAGUGAAAACCCAGGGCUUAACCCUGGGCUGGCUUUCGAUACGGGCAGACUAGAGGUAUGCAGGGGAGAACGGAAUUCCUGGUGUAGCGGUGAAAUGCGCAGAUAUCAGGAGGAACACCGGGUGGCGAAGGCGGAUCUCUGGGCCGAUACUGACGCUGAGGAGCGAAAGCGUGGGGAGCGAACAGG